rnacentral:lncRNA from 1 species
AUUUUACUGCAGUUAGUAUAGUUGUCCAAAAAUUAUGAUUCUAGUGUCCCAAGAAAGAUUUUUAAGUCUAGAAUCCAAUAAAACAAGAAUUAACUAAUUCGGAGUUCUGUGGAGAGAGUUAUGAAUAAAACACUGACCAAAGGUCAAAGCUGAAAAUACUAGAACGUGAGUAAAUUUACGAGUUUUAACAAUUUUACUGCAGUUAGUAUAGUUGUCCAAAAAUUAUGAUUCUGGUGUCUCAAGAAAGAUGUUUGAGCCUAGAAUACAAUAAAACAAGAAUUAACUAAUUCGGAGUUAUGUAGAGAUAGUUAUGAAUAAAACAAUAAGCAAAGGUCAAAGCUGAAUAUACUAGAGCCUGAGUGAAAUUUAUGAUUCUUAAUAAUUUUACUGCAGUUAAACCUCUUGUCCAAAAAUUUUGAGUUUGGUGUCCAGAGAAAGAGUUUUGAGUCUAGAAUUCAAUAAAACAAGAAUCAAUGCAUUCGGAGUUCUGUAGAGGAAAUUAUGAAUAAAACACUGAGCAAAGGUUGUUCUGGGGUUUUUGACCCUUCCGGAUCCAUGGGUGAGGGUAUCCAAGCCAUUUGAAUUACUUAAAUAUUGAUAAUUAAUAUUAUAAAGUUAUUUGUGUUAAUAAGUGAUGUUUUGUGAAAGUAUGUAAUGUUUGAGUUAUUUUUAUAACAUAACUAAAGGAUGUUUGUGCNACAUGGUUAAGAGUAUGAAGUAUUGCGUUGUGAAUUAUGGUUGGAAAGCUUGUAUGUACAAAGUAUGNUUAUUGGACGUAAUUCCAUGAUCCUCAAGGGAGGUUACAUGGUGGUGCCCUGUAGUUUGUCGUGAUUGAUCGUAUGAAUGGCCGGAGUUCAGGAUGGGGUUUACCUUGACAUUCUAAUGACCAUCCAUGCUCAAUUAGAGAGUGAUGAUUCAUGUGGUGAGAAUAGGAGGAGGU